CAACUAUGGGCACAGCUCAGUGCCUUUCCUGACUGGCUGCCAGCGGUGUCCCUGGGGUAGCUGGAGCAGCUGUAGAAGCUGCAGGGGAAACAGAGACCCUACAAGCAAUAAAACAAGGAGAAAAAUGGCAACCCCAUAUCACUUCUAAGCCACCCAGGUGAGGAAACUAAGGUUCAGGAUAGUUAAAGAACUGCCUGAGGUCAAAAAGCUAAAAAAAUGAGAAGCCAGCUUUGUCGCUGGCCUGACCCUAACCCUGGCUCAGGACCAGCACACUGACUUCACGUCAAGGGUGCAUGCUGUGGUUCUCCAGGAGAAGAUGCACUAGACCGUGCCGUUAUUGCCAGCCUUCUUGCUGCAGAGUGGAACACUGCAGCUGGGCCUCAAGAGGGAAGUCAAAAGUCAAGGACUUCAUCAUUCGGGUCCACAUACAGAUGCUGAAAACAAUGACAGAGCCACCAACAGGUGCCCGCCUUGCAGGACUGCACCAAGAAGCCACCCUGGCCU